AUUGAACGCUGGCGGCAGGCCUAACACAUGCAAGUCGAGCGGAUGAAGGGAGCUUGCGCCUGGAUUCAGCGGCGGACGGGUGAGUAAUGCCUAGGAAUCUGCCUGGUAGUGGGGGAUAACGUCCGGAAACGGGCGCUAAUACCGCAUACGUCCUGAGGGAGAAAGUGGGGGAUCUUCGGACCUCACGCUAUCAGAUGAGCCUAGGUCGGAUUAGCUAGUUGGUGGGGUAAAGGCCUACCAAGGCGACGAUCCGUAACUGGUCUGAGAGGAUGAUCAGUCACACUGGAACUGAGACACGGUCCAGACUCCUACGGGAGGCAGCAGUGGGGAAUAUUGGACAAUGGGCGAAAGCCUGAUCCAGCCAUGCCGCGUGUGUGAAGAAGGUCUUCGGAUUGUAAAGCACUUUAAGUUGGGAGGAAGGGCAGUAAGUUAAUACCUUGCUGUUUUGACGGUACCAACAGAAUAAGCACCGGCUAACUUCGUG
rnacentral:rRNA from 1 species